GGAAUAUUGGGCAAUGGAGGGAACUCUGACCCAGCGACGCCGCGUGCGGGAUGAAGGCCUUCGGGUUGUAAACCGCUUUCAGCAAGGAAGAAGCGAAAGUGACGGUACUUGCAGAAGAAGCACCGGCUAACUAUGUGCCAGCAGCCGCGGUAAUACAUAGGGUGCAAGCGUUGUCCGGAAUUAUUGGGCGUAAAGAGCUCGUAGGUGGUUCGUCACGUCGGAUGUGAAAAUCUGGGGCUU
rnacentral:rRNA from 1 species